rnacentral:tRNA from 1 species
GGCCCUGUAGUUCAAUGGAUAGAAUAGAAGUUUCCUAAACUUUAGAUACAAGUUCCCUUCCACUUCGUUGGCAGGCAGGGAUUCUUGUCGGGGCUA